UACGUAGGGGGCAAGCGUUGUCCGGAAUCAUUGGGCGUAAAGAGCGUGUAGGUGGCUCGGUAAGUCCGCUGUGAAAGUCCAGGGCUCAACCCUGGAAAGCCGGUGGAAACUGUCGAGCUCGAGUCCGGAAGAGGCGAGUGGAAUCCUGGUGUAGCGGUGAAAUGCGCAGAUAUCAGGAGGAACACCAAUGGCGAAGGCAGCUCGCUGGGACGGUACUGGACACUGAGACGCGAAAGCGUGGGGAGCAAACAGG
rnacentral:rRNA from 1 species